GGGAGUUGGAAAGAGAUAAGAGAGAGACCUUGGGGAACAAUUUUAAAGUGGCUCAAUAGCGAUCGCAGAGCCAAACUCAUACCUACAUCAAUGUGGUGCAGAGAAUCUCUAAGAAUUUUUAAUGCUGAAUUGGAGCAAAGAAACUUCAAGUAUGAACCUAAAAAGAAAUCAAAAUGGAGGAAGCAAAGUGAAGAACACAGAUUUCACAGAUGGGAUGCCUGGCUCAAAUUCCAGCUUGACCGCUGGUAGCUGUGUGACCCUCGGCAAGUUACUUGACCUCUCUCUACUCAGUGUCCUCAUCUGUCAGUGUAAUAUGAAUCAGAAAACAUGAACUCAGACUGAUGCUGGAAGCCACCUUAUGACUAUAAGCAGAAUCAGCCUCGUUAUGACGUUGAUGCUAUAAGCAACGGACUGAAAGAUACAAAGAGCAAGCAGACAGGAUGAAAUGCGUAAAUGGCGACAGUAGAGCCAGCCUUCAUGAAUCCAGAAAUGUGAGCCACAUUUUGAGGAUAGCAGAGUCACUGCAGAAGCCUGGAUCCUUGCAUAACCUUGUCGAGUGGGAAAAUCUACCCAUACUUGACCAACCACCUAACUGGGGGCUCUACAUCUGAGAGAAAUGAUUUUUUAUCUUAUUUAAGCCACUGUAGUUAGGAGUCAGUUUAUUACAGGACAUUGCCUGGUGUUCCAACAAAUAAACUACCUUA
rnacentral:lncRNA from 1 species